rnacentral:rRNA from 1 species
AACGAACGCUGGCGGCAUGCCUAACACAUGCAAGUCGAACGAAGCCUUCGGGCUUAGUGGCGCACGGGUGCGUAACGCGUGGGAAUCUGCCCUUGGGUUCGGAAUAACAGUUAGAAAGGACUGCUAAUACCGGAUGAUGUCUUCGGACCAAAGAUUGAGCGCCCAAGGAUGAGCCCGCGUAGGAUUAGGUAGUUGGCGGGGUAAUGGCCCACCAAGCCGACGAUCCUUAGCUGGUCCGAGAGGAUGAUCCGCCACACUGGGACUGAGACACGGCCCAGACUCCUACGGGAGGGAGCAGGGGGGAAUAUUGGACAAUGGGCGAAAGCCUUAUCCAGCAAGGCCGCGUGAGGGAUGAAGGCCUUAGGGUUGUAAAGCUCUUUUACCAGGGAUGAUAAUGACAGUACCUGGAGAAUAAGCUCCGGCUAACUCCGUGCCAGCCGCCGCAGUAAAAC